GACGGAGGAGGCAAGCGUUGUCCGGAAUUAUUGGGCGUAAAGAGCGCGUAGGCGGUUUUCCAAGUCAUAUGUGAAAACUUUAGGCUUAACCUAAAGAUUGCAUGUGAAACUGGAUAACUAGAGUACGGCAGAGGAAAGUGGAAUUCCUGGUGUAGCGGUGAAAUGCGCAGAUAUCAGGAAGAACACCAGUGGCGAAGGCGGCUUUUUAGGCCGUUACUGACGCUGAGGCGCGAAAGCUAGGGGAGCGAACAGG
rnacentral:rRNA from 1 species